GGGGCCGAAUAAAGCUUAAUCGUCCAGCUUGGGCUAGGAUGCCAUCAUUAAUCGCUGGUGGUCCGGGGUUCAAAUCCCCGCGGCCCCA
rnacentral:tRNA from 1 species